rnacentral:rRNA from 1 species
GCCAAGUCGAGCGGGCGAGGUUGCUUCGGUAACUGAGCUAGCGGCGGACGGGUGAGUAAAGCUUAGGAAUCUGCCUAUUAGUGGGGGACAACAUUCCGAAAGGGAUGCUAAUACCGCAUACGUCCUACGGGAGAAAGCAGGGGAUCACUUGUGACCUUGCGCUAAUAGAUGAGCCUAAGUCGGAUUAGCUAGUUGGUGGGGUAAAGGCCUACCAAGGCGACGAUCUGUAGCGGGUCUGAGAGGAUGAUCCGCCACACUGGGACUGAGACACGGCCCAGACUCCUACGGGAGGCAGCAGUGGGGAAUAUUGGACAAUGGGGGGAACCCUGAUCCAGCCAUGCCGCGUGUGUGAAGAAGGCCUUUUGGUUGUAAAGCACUUUAAGCGAGGAGGAGGCUUACCUGGUUAAUACCUGGGAUAAGUGGACGUUACUCGCAGAAUAAGCACCGGCUAACUCUGUGCCAGCAGCCGCGGUAAUACAGAGGGUGCGAGCGUUAAUCGGAUUUACUGGGCGUAAAGCGCGCGUAGGUGGUUAAUUAAGUCAAAUGUGAAAUCCCCGAGCUUAACUUGGGAAUUGCAUUCGAUACUGGUUAGCUAGAGUAUGGGAGAGGAUGGUAGAAUUCCAGGUGUAGCGGUGAAAUGCGUAGAGAUCUGGAGGAAUACCGAUGGCGAAGGCAGCCAUCUGGCCUAAUACUGACACUGAGGUGCGAAAGCAUGGGGAGCAAACAGGAUUAGAUACCCUGGUAGUCCAUGCCGUAAACGAUGUCUACUAGCCGUUGGGGGAUUUGAUCUUUUAGUGGCGCAGCUAACGCGAUAAGUAGACCGCCUGGGGAGUACGGUCGCAAGACUAAAACUCAAAUGAAUUGACGGGUGCCCGCACAAGCGGUGGAGCAUGUGGUUUAUUCGUUGCAUCGCUGAAAACUUUACUUGGU